AAUUGGGUCAAGCUUUGGCAAGAGCCUUGUGUCCUCCCUGGGGUGGCAUCGUCACGGCAGGCGUGUCCGACCUCUGUCCAGCAGCCGUUCGCUCAGCUUUCUGUCUCGGGACCAGCGGUAAGCAGGGGAAGACAUCUUGACAUCGUGCGGCUAUCCACGCCUCCUGGGUCUGUCACCCGGCGGAUUUCGCGUCCACUCCGCCUUAAGGGAUUCUUUCUAUCUGAUUAACGUCAACGGCUUCGUCGGACACAUGAGUUUAUUUCUUCGGGGCUAGUGUUGGUGGACAGCUCGUCACUGGCGAUAAGGGACCUUGCGGCAAUGUAAAUGCUCCGGGACCCCGUCCCCCCAUCCUCUCUCCUGUAGCAUGAGUAAGCUGGAGUCACCCACGCAGCAAAAGCAUCCUGGGCCCGCUCCCCACCAGCCACUGCCUGGCUCUUCCGCUUCCCCACCGGGGAAUGGCACAUUCUGGCCUCCAGCUGGGUGCGGAGCACAUCCUUGGAGCAAACUUUCUUUGGCCCCGCUGUUUCCUGGCACUGAGAACCGAUGCGGAGGAAUCAGACGCUGCCCACUCUGUCCCUGACAGACUCUUCCUGCCCUUGGUGGAGUGGCGUGUGUGUGUUGGGAGCUUUUCUGUAAGGACCCUGACCUGAGAGGAAAAGGGGUCAGCCGUGGAGCUUCCGGGGAUGGCUGGAAAGUCGGGGUGCAGGGGCCCUGCCCCCAUGGGAAGAAAGGAAUGAGAAAGAGGAAGCCAAGGCUCGCCGGAGGUGGGCAGGACUCCCUGUCUGGCGGCCCACCGCCCAGGUGAGGGGAGAGGGCGGCAGCUCGGUCUGGGAAAGGGUUAUGGGUUGGAUCGUGUCCCCCAAGAAAGAUGUGUUCGAGUCUUGCCCGCCAGCAGCUGUGACUGGGACCUAACCUGGAUGAGGUGGUGCUGGACGAGGGCGGGCCUCAUCUCGCACUUGGCUUUUGCCGAUCCCCUUAGCUUGUUUGUACCCCCGCGAUGGCAGCCAUUCUCUUGAAGGCCGGACCCAAGGUGCCGGCAUCGUUUGCAGACGUGCCCGUGUACUUCAUCAAGACGGGACCGAAGCUUCUGGACCUCAGUCAAAGGAUCCUCUACAAGAGAGUGUUGCUGGAGAACUACUGCCAUUCGGUGUCACUGGGCUGACCUGUACAGAGUUUAGCAGUUUCUGUUCCUUGAGCCAAGCCAGGCGAAGAGGCCCAGGAGAAGAAAAGCGUUUGGUUUUGCAGCCUGAAUCAAUCCAGAAAGGAGCUGGGGUGCCCCCCCCCCCCACUGCGACUCACUGAGACCCACUGCCUGCGGGGCUGCAGGGGGCCCGUUUCCUCCAUUUCUUCUCUCCAGAUUUAACCUCUACAAUCUAACCACACACAGGGAGACUACUUUCUUCCCCUUGGUUCUUUCUGACCCUCACUGGGCAGAUGCAGGGUUCGCGGCGCAGCUCCGGAAUCGUCAGUCGAUGCCACAUGUCCCAGCAGCCUCCUGACCUCCCUGCAGGCCAAGGAAGAACACCGUUAUCCUGCUGGCCCCAAUCACCACCUCCUUGGGGCUCCCCGUGCCCGCCUGGCCCCCAUGCAUCCAAAGUCCAUGCAUCCAGAGUCCAUGGCGGUGCCCAUGAUGCUGCUCAACCUCGUGGACCAGCUGGGGGAGGCGGACGAGGAGCUGGCGGGCAACUACGCGGAGCUGGGGGACUGGUGCGCCCAGAGGAUCCUGCAGCACGUCCAGGACAGCCACUUUGGUGGUGGUAGCAGGAUAUCCUGCUUGGAGAUGGUCGGACUUGGCAGGUGCCUGGAGGAUGAACUUCAGGAAGGUGUGGGAGAUGCAUUUGGCCAACUGUCACUAUCAGGGAGUGAACUUCUAAAAUUCAAGAAGAAUUUGGAACUCUGUCUCCGAAUGCUACUGUUGUUAUAAUUUUGUCGUCCACUCUCACCCUCCGACUGUCAGGGUCGGCCUUCCGCGACAGGGGCCAUGGUCUCAGCUGCCGGCACCUGUUUCUCGGGUUCCCGCGCCAUGUGCUGUCAGGCUUUACGCCGGCAGCUGCAUGAUGCCUAACGCUUUUCAAGCAGCCCACCGGACUUGGGAAGAAAAGUUUCAGUAGCAUGUUUUCCAGAAGGAACUUUGUGCCUAGGAUAAACAGUUUGGUCAAAUCUCAGAAAAUCUUUGUGUUUAGUGACUAUAGCAGUCCUUGUGACAGCAACUAGUUCCCUAAAGCAGGUUAUAAAGUCUGGUGUGAAGCGUGUUUAGUCG